rnacentral:rRNA from 1 species
AUUGAACGCUAGCGGGAUGCUUUACACAUGCAAGUCGAACGGAGUGGCGGACGGGUGAGUAAUAUAUCGGAACGUGCCCAGUAGCGGGGGCUAACUACUCGAACGAGUGGCUAAUACCGCAUACUAUUGGAGCGGCCGAUCUUGGAUUAGCUAGUUGGUGGGGUAACGGCUAAACAAGGCAACGAUCCCUACCUGGUGUGAGAGGGCGACCCGCCACACUGUGACGGAGACACGGCCCAGACUCCUACGGGAGGCAGCAUGGGGGAAUUUUGGGCAAUGGAGGAAACCCUGAUCCAGCCAUCCCGCGUGUAUGAUGAAGGCCUUCGGGUUGUAAAGUACUUUUGGCAGAGAAGCGGUAUCUGCAGAAUAAGCACCGGCUAACUACGUGCCAGCCGCCGCGGUAAGAC